AUGAAAAGAGGGGGUUGGACUCGUCCCCCGGUGGGAUUUGUGAAACUUAAUGUUGAUGCUUCUUUUGAUCAUGAUCUUCUUAAAGGUACGGCUGAGGCUGUCCUGAGGAACGAUAAAGGGAAUUUUAUUGCAGGGGGUACAUGGAAAAUUGAUCAUUGCGUUGAUGCUCUAACAGCGGAGGCUUGGGCUCUCAGAUUCGGUCUUUCACUAGCGCAACGUGCGGGUUGCAAUCGCCUUGUUAUUAAUUCUGAUAAUUUGGAGGUUAUUGAGACGAUGAAUAAUGACCAACGGUCAGCAAGAGCGGCGGCGACAAUUUUUGAUGAUUGCUAGUUUUUGGCGUGUGAUUUUCCUACCUCUAGGUUUUAACACUGUAAUAGGGAAGCCAAUAAGGUUGCGCACGAGUUUGCUAGGUUAGCUAGAUUUUCUUCUAAUGUUGAUUGGUUUGAGGAGCCUAUGAUUGAGAUUGUACCUUUCCUCACAAACGAUGUAUCUGUUAUUUCGGUUGAAUAA
rnacentral:rRNA from 1 species